GGAGAAGCUGUUCCGAGAGAAGCAGCGGUGUGACCCUGCUCUUGCAGGCAUGUGAUGAAUAUUUCAUAGCCCAGAUGUAAUCCUGUCCACAAUUUUCUCUCCUUCCGGCUCGCCAGCACCCCUCUCCUCACGGUCCUCCACCUCUACCCCACCCCAGUCCCCAACCGUUCCCAAGUCAGGAAAAUCAGUCAAAACAUUUAUCAAGAAUCGGUAUGAACCAGCCAAGCGCUGUGAAGAGCUAAUCUGUGCAGAGCUAAUAAGAAUGAACAAAGUCACCACAGACUUCGCCAUGGGCAUCGCUGAUAAGGAUUUGUCAGAAGAAUUGCAGUCAGUGGAUGGGGAAAAAUCAUUCCUCGGCCACAGAAGGGAUAACUGAGACUCAGAGAAGCAAGUCUAGGACCCUUGGACACUUGUUCCAGAUCAGAAGAGACGCUAUCUGAAGCCGCUCCAAGGAGUUGGAACCUAACGGAAGGAAUGGGAUGGGAGACCUGGCUUCAUUUGAAUUUCCCCCAGAGCUAACAGCCUUCCUCCCAGAGUCCCAGGGAGGGAGGGGCUCAGCCUCACCCAGCGAGGACCGCCCUGAUGUCCACCCACUUGACAGCCAGUUAGGACAGCCCACCCCUCUGGCCCACCUCCUGGAAAGUGGGCAUAACUUCAGGUUGAACCCGAAAUGUAAAUAUCCUAAUUGGCAUCUUAUUAGUACAAGCAGAAAAGCCCAUUGUUAUGGAAGAGAAAUCUCCCAAUCCCCCACCAAUUAAUCUUUAGCUACACGAGGCUCGUGCUCACCAUAUCAAUGGGAGCUGGGGCUCAGGAGUGAGCUGCGGAAGAGAGGACAGUGACAGCAGCAUGUGUGACUGCAGAAUCUCCGAGCUGGAGAACACCGUCGUCAUGGGGUUAAUAGUCUGGCCACCCCCUGGGGAGUGUCCCUUUGGUGAGAACAUCUGCUGGUGGUCCAUCCACAGGGAGGCUGCCGUGGAGGAGAGGACACGGGUGGUGGAGGAUUGUGGUGGACGUUUGUUUUGUUCUUUCCUUUGUGGGGCCUCUGCAGCAUCGAGCUGCUUUGCUAGUCGUGUGGGGAUUCCCCGUCAUUUGAGUCGUGGCGGGAGGCAGACUGUGCUUUCCUCUGAAGGAAUGGAAAAUUCCCACUACUUGCUUUCCAAGCAGGGCUCACAUAUGCCCCAGGCUGGGCCAAUCUGGCGCUCCCACUCUCAGCUGACCGACCCAGGAGGCAGAUGGUGGCAGGGACGUGUGAUUCCAGGGAUGGCCACUAGUGAGAUUGCUGGUCCCAUCCGUGGGGUAGGAGUUCUAUUCUGUGAUCCGAUUUUGCUGGUGCUCCUGGCCGCAAAGUCUAUCUUCCCUUUACCCAUUUUCUUUCUUUAAAAAAAAUUUUUAAGUUUAUUUU